UACGUAGGGUGCGAGCGUUAAUCGGAAUUACUGGGCGUAAAGCGUGCGCAGGCGGUUUUUGUAAGUCAGAUGUGAAAUCCCCCGGGCUUAACCUGGGAACUGCGUUUGAAACUACAAGGCUAGAGUGUGGCAGAGGGGGGGUGGAAUUCCACGUGUAGCAGUGAAAUGCGUAGAGAUGUGGAGGAACACCGAUGGCGAAGGCAGCCCCCCUGGGUUAACACUGACGCUCAGGCACGAAAGCGUGGGGAGCAAACAGG
rnacentral:rRNA from 1 species